GAUGAACGCUGGCGGCGUGCUUAACACAUGCAAGUCGAACGAUGAUCCCAGCUUGCUGGGGGAUUAGUGGCGAACGGGUGAGUAACACGUGAGUAACCUGCCCUUGACUCUGGGAUAAGCCUGGGAAACUGGGUCUAAUACCGGAUAUGACUCCUCAUCGCAUGGUGGGGGGUGGAAAGCUUUUGUGGUUUUGGAUGGACUCGCGGCCUAUCAGCUUGUUGGUGGGGUAAUGGCCUACCAAGGCGACGACGGGUAGCCGGCCUGAGAGGGUGACCGGCCACACUGGGACUGAGACACGGCCCAGACUCCUACGGGAGGCAGCAGUGGGGAAUAUUGCACAAUGGGCGCAAGCCUGAUGCAGCGACGCCGCGUGAGGGAUGACGGCCUUCGGGUUGUAAACCUCUUUCAGUAGGGAAGAAGCGUAAGUGACGGUACCUGCAGAAGAAGCGCCGGCUAACUACGUGCCAGCAGCCGCGGUAAUACGUAGGGCGCAAGCGUUAUCCGGAAUUAUUGGGCGUAAAGAGCUCGUAGGCGGUUUGUCGCGUCUGCUGUGAAAGACCGGGGCUCAACUCCGGUUCUGCAGUGGGUACGGGCAGACUAGAGUGCAGUAGGGGAGACUGGAAUUCCUGGUGUAGCGGUGAAAUGCGCAGAUAUCAGGAGGAACACCGAUGGCGAAGGCAGGUCUCUGGGCUGUAACUGACGCUGAGGAGCGAAAGCAUGGGGAGCGAACAGGAUUAGAUACCCUGGUAGUCCAUGCCGUAAACGUUGGGCACUAGGUGUGGGGGACAUUCCACGUUUUCCGCGCCGUAGCUAACGCAUUAAGUGCCCCGCCUGGGGAGUACGGCCGCAAGGCUAAAACUCAAAGGAAUUGACGGGGGCCCGCACAAGCGGCGGAGCAUGCGGAUUAAUUCGAUGCAACGCGAAGAACCUUACCAAGGCUUGACAUGAACCGGAAAGACCUGGAAACAGGUGCCCCGCUUGCGGUCGGUUUACAGGUGGUGCAUGGUUGUCGUCAGCUCGUGUCGUGAGAUGUUGGGUUAAGUCCCGCAACGAGCGCAACCCUCGUUCUAUGUUGCCAGCGGUUCGGCCGGGGACUCAUA
rnacentral:rRNA from 1 species